CAAUAGCGUAUAUUAAAGUUGUUGCAGUUAGAACGCUCGUAGUCGGAUUUCGGGGCGGGCCGACCGGUCUGCCGAUGGGUACGCACUGGUCGGCGCGUCCUUCCUUCCGGAGACCGUGCCUACUCUUAACUGAGCGGGGGCGGGAGACGGAACGUUUACUUUGAAAAAAUCAGAGUGUUUCAAGCAGGCAGUGCGCUCUUGCAUGGAUUAGCAUGGGAUAAUGAAAUAGGACUUUGGUGCUAUUUUGUUGGUUUCGAACACCGAAGUAAUGAUUAAAAGGGACAGUCAGGGGCACUCGUGUUCCGCCGAGAGAGGUGAAAUUCUCAGACCAGCGGAAGACGAACCACUGCGAAAGCAUUUGCCAGGGAUGUUUUCACUGA
rnacentral:rRNA from 1 species